GUACACACCGCCCGUCGCUACUACCGAUUGAAUGGCUCAGUGAGGCUUUGGGACUGGCCCAGUAGAGGUCGGCAACGACCACUCAGGGCCGGAAACUUAUCCAAACUCGGUCAUUUAGAGGAAGUAAAAGUCGUAACAAGGUCUCCGUUGGUGAACCAGCGGAGGGAUCAUUA
rnacentral:rRNA from 1 species